rnacentral:rRNA from 1 species
AGUAAUGUAUCGGAACGUGCCCAGUCGUGGGGGAUAACUGCUCGAAAGAGCAGCUAAUACCGCAUACGACCUGAGGGUGAAAGCGGGGGGUCGCAAGACCUCGCGCGAUUGGAGCGGCCGAUAUCAGAUUAGGUAGUUGGUGAGGUAAAGGCUCACCAAGCCGACGAUCUGUAGCUGGUCUGAGAGGACGACCAGCCACACUGGGACUGAGACACGGCCCAG